rnacentral:rRNA from 1 species
UACGUAGGACCCAAGCGUUAUCCGGAUUGACUGGGCGUAAAGAGUUGCGUAGGUGGUUUGUUAAGCGAAUAGUGAAAUCUUGUGGCUCAACCAUAAGGCUAUUAUUCGAACUGGCAGACUCGAGAAUGGAAGAGGUAUCUGGAAUUUCUAAUGUAGGGGUAAUAUCCGUAGAUAUUAGAAGGAACACCAAUGGCGUAGGCAGGAUACUGGUCCAUUUCUGACACUAAGGCACGAAAGCGUGGGGAGCGAACCGG